AUUGAACGCUGGCGGCAGGCUUAACACAUGCAAGUCGAGCGGAGCGAGGGUGCUUGCACCUUAGCUUAGCGGCGGACGGGUGAGUAAAGCUUAGGAAUCUGCCUAUUAGUGGGGGACAACAUUCCGAAAGGGAUGCUAAUACCGCAUACGCCCUACGGGGGAAAGCAGGGGAUCUUCGGACCUUGCGCUAAUAGAUGAGCCUAAGUCGGAUUAGCUAGUUGGUGGGGUAAAGGCCUACCAAGGCGACGAUCUGUAGCGGGUCUGAGAGGAUGAUCCGCCACACUGGGACUGAGACACGGCCCAGACUCCUACGGGAGGCAGCAGUGGGGAAUAUUGGACAAUGGGGGGAACCCUGAUCCAGCCAUGCCGCGUGUGUGAAGAAGGCCUUUUGGUUGUAAAGCACUUUAAGCGAGGAGGAGGCGCUCUAGGAUAAUACCCUAGAUGCGUGGACGUACUCGCAGA
rnacentral:rRNA from 1 species